ACGGGAGGCAGCAGUGGGGAAUAUUGCACAAUGGGGGAAACCCUGAUGCAGCGACGCCGCGUGAAGGAUGAAGUAUUUCGGUAUGUAAACUUCUAUCAGCAGGGAAGAAAAUGACGGUACCUGACUAAGAAGCCCCGGCUAACUACGUGCCAGCAGCCGCGGUAAUACGUAGGGGGCAAGCGUUAUCCGGAUUUACUGGGUGUAAAGGGAGCGUAGACGGUGAAGCAAGUCUGAUGUGAAAGGCCGGGGCUCAACCCCGGGACUGCAUUGGAAACUGUUUUACUAGAGUGCCGGAGAGGUAAGCGGAAUUCCUAGUGUAGCGGUGAAAUGCGUAGAUAUUAGGAGGAACACCAGUGGCGAAGGCGGCUUACUGGACGGUAACUGACGUUGAGGCUCGAAAGCGUGGGGAGCAAACAGGAUUAGAUACCCUGGUA
rnacentral:rRNA from 1 species